UUGUUAAUCUAAUAUUGUCACCCUUCUCAUUUCCCUUGCAGUGUUGGUUUGUUUUCAAAUCGUUGCGUUAUUUGGGAUUGUAUUUGCAUCGUAAGAGGAUCAUCAUCAUCUAAUGCAAGAAAAAGACGUCGAGGGAAAACAAAGAAUAAAAUACUAACAUCUUUGGCUCCUGGUCAAAAAUUGCCAUUGGAAUUCAAUAAUUAUGGUCAAGCCAUUGGAUCAAAUGCUAAUGUGUUUGCAAGUCAUAUUGGCAAGAUUGUUAAAGUAUGUGAAGAUGCACCAAUUUCUUGCAAGCGUUGGGAAGAUGUUCCACAAGACAAUAAGAAUAAAAUGUAUUCUUAUGUGCUGGUAAGAUUAAUAAUUAUUCUAUAUUAUACUUAUAUGAUAUUGUAUUAAAUCGUUCUUCAUGACUUAUAACGUUUCAAACAACUUUUUCUUUUAACUUGUGUAGGAGAAAUUUGAAUUUGAUGAGAACGAAAUAAGAAAAAAUUGGAUCUUUAGAAAGAUGGGAAGGGCUUUUGCAAACCAUAGAUAUAAGUUGAAGGCUAACUAUUAUGAUGCAUAUGACAAUGAUGAUGAUCGAAUUAAGUUUGCUCCAACAACAGUCGACCAAGGACAAUGGAGACAAUUUGUCAGUUGGUUGAGCUCACAUGAGUUUCAGGUUUCUUGUGCUCGUAAUAAGUCUAAUCGGUCAAAGCAAACAAUGACUAAAACUACAGGCACUAGAAGUUUUGCUCGAGUUAGAGCUGAACAGUCUGAAAUAUUAGGACACGAACCGUCUGCAUGGGAAAUGUUCAAGGUGACACACAAGAAAAAAGACGGGUCAAUGGUUGAUUCCACAUCAAAAGAAAUAGUGGUAAAUUUUAUUUUAAACAGUUUAUGUUGUUAUUGUGAUAUAUAUUUUAGUAUUUUGUUAUAACAUAUCUAUUUUAUUUAUUAUCUAAUUUCAGGAAAAAAUUCAAUCUUUAGUAACCCAAAGAGCUGAGGAAGAACCUUCUCAAGCUAUUGAUGAAAAUGAAUUUUUUUUUGAAGUAAUGGGAAGAGAAAGACAUGGACGUGUUCGUGGGUAUGGAUUCGGACCAACUCCUUCUUCUGUCCUUGGAAAGAUUCAAUCUCGUCAUGAGCUUGUUACAGAACUAGAACAAAUGCGACAGCAUAAUAAUGGUUUGAAAAAUGAAAUGCAACUUUUGAAAGAGAAAAAUGAAGCGUUAUCGACAGAAUUGGACCAAGUCAAAGAAAGGCAAUCAAUUUUUGAAGCUUUUAUGGAAGAUGUUAG